rnacentral:rRNA from 1 species
UACGUAGGGUGCGAGCGUUAAUCGGAAUUACUGGGCGUAAAGCGUGCGCAGGCGGUUCGUUAAGUCAGAUGUGAAAGCCCCGGGCUCAACCUGGGAACUGCAUUUGAAACUGGCGGGCUUGAGUGUGGCAGAGGGGGGUGGAAUUCCGCGUGUAGCAGUGAAAUGCGUAGAGAUGCGGAGGAACACCGAUGGCGAAGGCAGACCCCUGGGCCAGCACUGACGCUCAUGCACGAAAGCGUGGGGAGCAAACAGG